GUCGGUGUUGAUGGCGCGUAGGAUCCACCCGUUCCCAUCCCGAACACGGAAGUUAAGCUACGCAGCGCUGAAGAUACUUGGCGGGAAGCUGC
rnacentral:rRNA from 1 species